rnacentral:lncRNA from 1 species
ACUUUUUAGCAUCGGUGGAGGCUACAACACACUCUGCAGUAGCAAGUUACCCGGAGUUUUUAUUGAGUCAUGAGAAGCAAGAUGGAAGCCGUGUCUGCUGUGGUAUCACCUAUGCUGGAGCAGCCUCAUGGAUCUAUUUUCCCCUUUGAUGACUCUAACUCACUCACCAGAUGGAUGAGAGGCACUGCCAGCUGCCUGGGAAGGCUGUCACUGCUGAGGUUGGCAUCCCGUGAGCUGUACAGGUCUUCCCAGGAUACUGCUGGCACCAUGAGUGUGAGGGCUUUGGCAGGGAAUUCAGUGCAGUUCACUGCAAACAAGAGCAACAGAAGAUUUAGUGAUGUUACAGCGCAAGAGACAGGAGAUGAUGGCAAAAAUAGAGCUGAGCAAAAAACCAAACCUACCCAGGGAGAUGGAAGAGCUGAGGAAUUCAGCUCCGUUCAUGGGAGUCUGCAUGGAAUUCCUUGGGUGCAGAGGAGAUAAUCCAACUACCACAGAGAUUCUUGUGUCUCCCCGCCUGGAAGCUGUGAUAACCUUCGUGGCUACGUGCAGGUCAUGGAGCAGAGAGUAGAGGGCUUCUGGAAAUUCCUGUGGGUCUCUUGCCCUGUGCCUUCUUCCCUUGGAAACUGAAGUGCAUACCAGCAUGCAUCUGUUCCUCACCUUAAUUUGUAGCUGGAAGAUGGGAGAUACAUGUGCCUGAAUCCAGGACUCGAGAAACGUUCUUUGUCCCACAUAGACUGUGCUGCCUUUCUGCAACUAAUUUUAUGCCCUUCGCGUGGGGAAAAGAAUAACAGCCACAUGGGGAGAAGUUAGCAGACUUGGAGAUAAAUUCCUCAGGCCCACUCAGGAGGUGGAUGUCUGCUCUGCUGGAGCAGGGGAAGGGGUGGGUCAUUGCCCCGGCAGCACGACUUCAAGCAGCCGCGUGUGCAACAAAGCGAGUGGAGCGGCCACACAUCACUCACAAUGGCAGUCUGUGCAGCCCUGGCAGGAUCUUUUUUAUACAAUAAAAUGCUUGCUUCAG